CUACGGGUUGCUGCAGUCGAGGAAAUUUUACAAUGCUCGCAAGAGUGAUAAAAUGAGCCAGAGUGUUUCUCCUAGAGAAACUUUUAUUUGUUGUAAAAAGACAGAUGAAUAAGGACUGGGCAAGACCGGUGCCAGCCGCCGCGGUAAUACCGGCGGUCCAAGUCGCAUCCACAUUUAUUGAGUCUAAAACAUUCGUAGCUUGUUUUGCAAGUCUCUUGUGAAAUCCUAUAUCUCAAAUAUAGGACGUGCAAGAGAUACUGUAUUACUAGAGACCGGAAGACGCAAAAAGUAUGGUUGAGGUAGCGGUAAAAUGUAUUAAUCUCAAUUAGACUAACAAUGGCGAAGGCAUUUUGCGAGUACGGAUCUGACAGUGAGGGAUGAAGGCUAGGGGCGCAAAAGGGAUUAGAUACCCUUGUAGUC
rnacentral:rRNA from 1 species